ACAUAGUAGUACUAUUUAGUGUCCGCCUGACAUGAAUUUUCUAGUUUCAUCCUCUUACCUCGGAUCUUCAAUAAUAAAUCAAAAACACUAGGUAAUUUCGUUCUCAUCUACCUAAACGUACAUAUACGUAGUGAGUGUGAUGGUAAAAAGUUGUAAAUACUUGGUGGAAUAGUCAACAUGUGCGUGCGCCAACUCCGACACUAUCAUCAUUAAAAGAAGAGUCAUCGGAAGCUGGUUUAGCUUCCUUGGCCAACCUAAAUGGAAGGAAACAAAGUAAUCCUCGAGAACUUAGAACAAAAGUCAACACUAAAAAGUGAAUAUCUUCCAAAGUACAACAACGAAAUACCAAGUAUAGUUCCACAAGUUGGGUCUGAAGAGAUAAGGAUGUUAUCUCCAACAGACCCUCAGCUCAAAAGAAGUGUACUCAAAGCAAGAUUGAAAAAACAAAUACUUGCAAGGUUUCAUUAUUGAUAUUUAAAUGGGCAUUGCUGGUCUUUCUUCUGUUGAGUUAAGUUCUGAACAGAACAAAAAUUAGUUACAGACAACUCCAUAAAACACUGCUUUAGAAGCAGUUCCUAUCAAUGAACUCAACAAGGACCCAUUGAACUAGUUUCAAUAUUUUCCUGUACUGCUAGUUCCAUCAACAAGAAUAAUUGCCCGGUUUAUGACUAUACCAUAUCACAUCAGAGUUACCAAAACCUUUGUAGAAACAAAGAAUGUGACGGCCAUUAACACUCCAUCACAUCACAAAAAGAUGUGGACAAAAUAACAGUUGACUACUGCAGCCUAUAACACC